GGCCUGAAAAGCACCUUCCCAUCCUGGCAGAGUCUAUAUUAGAGAGCGGCAAUGGCUCUAUAUAAACAGGGCAGCCAAAGGGAGGAGGACCACAAGGCUCAGGGACUGAAAAGCAGGGUAAGCGGCCGCAGCCAUGAUGGAUCGACCCGAGUCGCCAACGCAGUCAGCUGAGACCUUCGCUGAGACUGUUGAGUGGGACACCUACAUAUGGUCACUGGACGUGGCCUGGGCUCCCUCAAAACAUGAUAGCCAGGGUGGAAAGUAAGCUCUACACCCAACGUGGGGCUGGAACUCAGGACUCCGAGAUCAAGAGCGGCAUGCUGUAUCAACUGAGCCCAGCCAGGCAC